CUAUAAUGCAGUCGAGCGGACAGAUGGGAGCUUGCUCCCUGAUGUUAGCGGCGGACGGGUGAGUAACACGUGGGUAACCUGCCUGUAAGACUGGGAUAACUCCGGGAAACCGGGGCUAAUACCGGAUGGUUGUUUGAACCGCAUGGUUCAAACAUAAAAGGUGGCUUCGGCUACCACUUACAGAUGGACCCGCGGCGCAUUAGCUAGUUGGUGAGGUAACGGCUCACCAAGGCAACGAUGCGUAGCCGACCUGAGAGGGUGAUCGGCCACACUGGGACUGAGACACGGCCCAGACUCCUACGGGAGGCAGCAGUAGGGAAUCUUCCGCAAUGGACGAAAGUCUGACGGAGCAACGCCGCGUGAGUGAUGAAGGUUUUCGGAUCGUAAAGCUCUGUUGUUAGGGAAGAACAAGUACCGUUCGAAUAGGGCGGUACCUUGACGGUACCUAACCAGAAAGCCACGGCUAACUACGUGCCAGCAGCCGCGGUAAUACGUAGGUGGCAAGCGUUGUCCGGAAUUAUUGGGCGUAAAGGGCUCGCAGGCGGUUUCUUAAGUCUGAUGUGAAAGCCCCCGGCUCAACCGGGGAGGGUCAUUGGAAACUGGGGAACUUGAGUGCAGAAGAGGAGAGUGGAAUUCCACGUGUAGCGGUGAAAUGCGUAGAGAUGUGGAGGAACACCAGUGGCGAAGGCGACUCUCUGGUCUGUAACUGACGCUGAGGAGCGAAAGCGUGGGGAGCGAACAGGAUUAGAUACCCUGGUAGUCCACGCCGUAAACGAUGAGUGCUAAGU
rnacentral:rRNA from 1 species